rnacentral:rRNA from 1 species
GAUGAACGCUAGCGGCAGGCUUAACACAUGCAAGUCGAGGGGUAGAAGGAGCUUGCUCCUUUGAGACCGGCGCACGGGUGCGUAACGCGUAUGCAAUCUACCUUUUGCAGAGGGAUAGCCCAGAGAAAUUUGGAUUAAUACCUCAUAGUAUGUGAGGAUGGCAUCAUUUUCACAUUAAAGUCACAACGGCAAAAGAUGAGCAUGCGUCCCAUUAGCUAGUUGGUAAGGUAACGGCUUACCAAGGCUACGAUGGGUAGGGGUCCUGAGAGGGAGAUCCCCCACACUGGUACUGAGACACGGACCAGACUCUUACGGGAGGCAGCAGUGAGGAAUAUUGGACAAUGGGCGCAAGCCUGAUCCAGCCAUGCCGCGUGCAGGAUGACGGUCCUAUGGGAUUGUAAACUGUCUUUUGUUAACAGGAAGGAAACACUACUUCGUGAAGUAGCUUGACGGUACU